rnacentral:rRNA from 1 species
AGCUUCAGUAGCGUAUAUUAAAGUUGUUGCAGUUAAAAAGCUCGUAGUCGCAUUUCUGGCGAGAGGAUUCGGUCCGACCUUUUGGUGGGUUCUUGGGUCUCUUUCGCCAUCCUUGAGUGGUCCGUUCUGGCAUUAGGUUGUCGGAGCGUCAGCCGCUCAUCGUUUACUGUGAGAAAAUUAGAGUGUUCAAAGCAGGCUUAUGCCGUUGAAUAUAUUAGCAUGGAAUAAUAAGAUAGGACCUCGGUACUAUUUUGUUGGUUUGCGCACCAAGGUAAUGAUGAACAGUGACAGUUGGGGGUAUUUGUAUUUCGUUGUCAGAGGUGAAAUUCUUAGAUUUACGAAAGACAAACUACUGCGAAAGCAUUUACCAAGGAUGUUUUCA